GAUGAACGCUGGCGGCGUGCUUAACACAUGCAAGUCGAACGAUGAAGCCCGGCUUGCUGGGUGGAUUAGUGGCGAACGGGUGAGUAACACGUGAGUAACCUGCCCUUAACUCUGGGAUAAGCCUGGGAAACUGGGUCUAAUACCGGAUAGGAGCGUCCACCGCAUGGUGGGUGUUGGAAAGAUUUAUCGGUUUUGGAUGGACUCGCGGCCUAUCAGCUUGUUGGUGAGGUAAUGUCUCACCAAGGCGACGACGGGUAGCCGGCCUGAGAGGGUGACCGGCCACACUUGGACUGAGACACGGCCCAGACUCCUACGGGAGGCAGCAGUGGGGAAUAUUGCACAAUGGGCGCAAGCCUGAUGCAGCGACGCCGCGUGAGGGAUGACGGCCUUCGGGUUGUAAACCUCUUUCAGUAGGGAAGAAGCGAAAGUGACGGUACCUGCAGAAGAAGCACCGGCUGACUACGUG
rnacentral:rRNA from 1 species